rnacentral:lncRNA from 1 species
AGGUGCCUCCUCAGUGCACAAAAUCAUGUGCUGUCAUCACUGGGGGGACAACAGGGCAUGCAACUUCCUGAGGGCAAAUUGUCAGAGUGUGUCCAAGAGGGAGGAACACAGAGAGGGGACAUGGGCCUCCUUACCUCACCCUAUAAAUCUUCCAGAGGCAUGCCACUUCCCUUCUGUAGUAGUUAGGCUUCUCUAGAGGAACAGAGUCAUUAGAAAAUGUGUGCAGGGGGGACUUAGUAGGUAGCGUAAGGGAUCAGAGGUGAAAGGAUCCACAGAGGCUGUCUGCACACCAGAAAGCAGAGGACCCAGGAGUUCCUCAGACCAAGAAACUGGAUGAGGCAGACCAAGAGGGACCAAGGAUCCAGGCCCCCUCCAAAGUGGAAGGCCUGCGAGCUGCCUGCGGAGUCUCCAGUGAGAGUCUGCACCGGGAGGCUGAAGAAACGGGAGACCAAUGUCCAAAGGCGACUAGAGCUCUUCCAACAUGGCAGCACUUCCUUUUCCUUUCCCUUUUUAUUCCAUCCAGGCUACAAGUCUAUUGGUCAGUGCCAACCACAUUCUGAGUAGGUCUUCCCCCUCAGUUUGCUAGCCUCUAUGUCAGUCAUCCACAGACACGCCCACAGCUGGGCUUUACUCAUCUGCCAGGCAGUUCUUACUCAGGAAGCCACUUUGACACAGCAUGGUCAAUGGUUAUAUCCUCUCAUGGAGAUUGCAGUCAACCUACACCCAACUCCAGACACAAUCUCAACCAUCUACCCAGUAUUUCCACCUGUGUUCCCUCCGCACACAUCAAACUCAUCAUCAUGAGUUGGGGACAUGACACUUCUUCUCAUGACCCCCUUCCGGUGCUGGAGCAGGACACACAAUGCACAGUCGAAGGCCGCUGAGCACAGUGACAUUUCCCAAAGUGUGCUCCUCAGGCUAGCAGCACCCAUGCCUCCUGCAAAGUUAUAAGCAAUGCAGAUCCUCAGGCCCCACCUAGGCGAAAGGAACCGGAGCUCCAGGCUGCUGCAGGGACCUGUGCUUGCAUCAUCCUGACACAGUGACCUCUCAGAGCCCCGGCUGGGAAAUGGGCCGCCAGGCCUCAGACCAGACAUAGCUGGGCCUGCUGGGCCCCACACAGUAGCCUCCUCAGGAAAGAAGACUCCAGAGCUGCUGCAGGAAGUAGCAAGAACUAUUGGAUAAGUGAGUUUGCAUGACCCUUUGUCCUUAGACACAGAAGGCAGAUGGGCUGACCCACCAUCUGGUACUGGAGAGGAAUGGUCAGGAGGACCUUUUGGGUUACAAACACCUGACUGUCAUUUGUAGGAGCUGCAACAUCAUGGCAAUGAUCUGACCGCGGGCCCAGGACUCAGGCUGCCUGCAUUCAGGGGCAGCUUUGUGUUUCCAGCUCAUCAGCCCUGCAUUCAUCACUUCACUAACUUCUCUCCAUGCUUUGCCUCCUGCCUGGAACAGUGCUCGGUAAACAUUGGCUACAUGGACUCCUGGUUCUGUCUCCAGUCCUCAGUGCUCCUGUAUCAGCCACAGUACUGGUUCCGCUGGCCUGUUCUCAGUUGCCCAUACUCGGUGAGGUAGAAUGUAGGAAGCCUUAAUUAUGAAUUCGGAGACAAGCCCUGCCACCCUUGGAGGAGGACAUGGAAGGCAGCUAUGCUCACCACUAUACCACCAACGCGAGGAGGACAUGGGAUACGCAAUCUAUUUGCUUUACAUAAGGUGGAGAAGGAAAGAUGCCCACUUAACAUUUUUCUCCAAGGGCUGUGGUUCCCGUGUUGUCCCUUCCUUGGCUGUUCGGAGUUGAAUGCCUCCUCUCCACCACCUUUGCCCCGGGCCGCCAUUGUUCCUCUAAGCUUCUCUCCUUGCUUUGGUUUUAUGUAGAUUUUGUAUUGUAGUUGAUCUUUCAUGGGCAGAGAGCAAUGAAUUAAAGUCUCAUAUUUCUGAUGUGUUUCUGUUCGUUCUCCUAAUAGCUCCCAUGGUUGCUGCUUUAUGAAUUUUGAUGCUGUGUUAUUUGG